CCUACGGGUGGCAGCAGUCGAGAAUCAUUCACAAUGGGGGAAACCCUGAUGGUGCGACGCAGCGUGGGGGAAUGAAGGUCUUCGGAUUGUAAACCCCUGUCAUGUGGGAGCAAAUUAAAAAGAUAGUGCCACAAGAGGAAGAGACGACUAACUCUGUGCCAGCAGCCGCGGUAAAACAGAGGUCUCAAUCGUUGUUCGGAAUCACUGGGCGUAAUGCGUGCGUAGGCUGGUUCUUAAGUCGGGUGUGAAAGGUGCGGGCUCAACCCGCGAACGGCACAUGAUACUGCGAGACUAGAGUAAUGGAGGGGGAACCGGAAUUCUCGGUGUAGCAGUGAAAUGCGUAGAUAUCGCGAGGAACACUGGUGGCGAAGGCAGGUUCCUGGACAUUAACUGACGCUGAGGCACGAAGGCCAGGGGAGCGAAAGGGAUUAGAUACCCGUGUAGUC
rnacentral:rRNA from 1 species